rnacentral:rRNA from 1 species
UACGUAGGGUGCAAGCGUUAAUCGGAAUUACUGGGCGUAAAGCGUGCGCAGGCGGUUAUAUAAGACAGAUGUGAAAUCCCCGGGCUCAACCUGGGAACUGCAUUUGUGACUGUAUAGCUAGAGUACGGCAGAGGGGGAUGGAAUUCCGCGUGUAGCAGUGAAAUGCGUAGAUAUGCGGAGGAACACCGAUGGCGAAGGCAAUCCCCUGGGCCUGUACUGACGCUCAUGCACGAAAGCGUGGGGAGCAAACAGGAUUAGAUACCCUUUAGUCC